rnacentral:rRNA from 1 species
UACGGAGGGGGCUAGCGUUGUUCGGAAUUACUGGGCGUAAAGCGCACGUAGGCGGCUUUGUAAGUUAGAGGUGAAAGCCCGGGGCUCAACUCCGGAAUUGCCUUUAAGACUGCAUCGCUAGAAUUGUGGAGAGGUAAGUGGAAUUCCGAGUGUAGAGGUGAAAUUCGUAGAUAUCAGGAGGAACACCAGUGGCGAAGGCGGCUUUCUGGACGAUAACUGA